rnacentral:rRNA from 1 species
AUUGAACGCUGUCGGCAGGCUUAACACAAUCAAGUCGAGCGAGCGGUGGACGGGUGAGGAAUGUCUGGGAAACUGCCUGAUGUAGGGGGAUAACUACUGGAAACGGUAGCUAAUACCGUAUACCAUCAGAUGUGCCCAGAUGGGAUUAGAUAGUAGGUGGGGUAUUGGCUCACCGAGGCGACGAUCCCUAGCUGGGCUGAGAGGAUGACCAGCCACACUAGAACAGAGACACGGCCCAGACUCCUACGCGAGGCAGCAGUGGGGAAUAUUGCACAAUGGGCGAAAGCCUGAUGCAGCCAUGCAGCGUGAGUGAAGAAGGCCAUCCGGUUGUAAAGCACUUUCAGCGAGGAGGCGUUAAUUACAAAAGAAGCACCGGCUAACUCCGUGCCAGCAGCCGCGGUAAUAC